rnacentral:rRNA from 1 species
GACGUAGGGCGCGAGCGUUGUCCGGAUUUAUUGGGCGUAAAGAGCUCGUAGGCGGUUUGUCGCGUCUGCUGUGAAAACCUAAGGCUCAACCUUGGGACUUGCAGUGGGUACGGGCAGACUAGAGUACGGAAGAGGCGAGUGGAAUUCCUGGUGUAGCGGUGGAAUGCGCAGAUAUCAGGAGGAACACCAAUAGCGAAGGCAGCUCGCUGGGGACGU